AGAUCUGUGAAAGAAGAGAUGAAGAACAAUUUUAGCUGAAGAGUUGAAGAAGACCAAGAAUAAUAAUUCAAGUGGAUGGCCGAUGUGCCUUGUUGUUUAGCGGUAUGAUGGUCGAUGGAAGUAUGUUCUAUAUUGCAAGAUGAUUGCAGCUGAUGCCGAGCCUCUCGAGAUCUGAGGGCCGUAGUAUUCAGAAUUACCUACAGCUUGAGUAGAUACACAUUAUUCACUGCAUAUUUUAUUCCAAUGGUUUUACUUCCACAUCACUGGUUUGUCUAUA